CUUUUCAAUUAUUUUAAAUAAUAUAUAGUAGCACCUUCAUAACGAUAGAAAAAUAUUUAUUAAUCGAAGGAACACAUUUAAUAAGAAUGACUACUACUGUAUCUUCUACUUGAAAUCAUUAGUGGCUACUGACAAAUCUUUUCACCUGUCAAUAUAUUACAAAAAAUGAAUUACCAGUGUUCCGCUACAUUAGAAAGCAAGAACAAAAAUUAUUCCCAAUCGCUUCCUCCAUUCAAUUAUAUUUAUUACCUUUUUAGUUUCAACCGUCACUAAUCACUGUCAGUUUUUUAUUUUCUAACAAUCCACGAUAUAAAUAUGCAGAAUACGAUCAAAAGAGAACAACUAACCAGCGCCAGACCUUUAACCAUUUUUCCCGAGAAAAGUGUGACAAAUAACUUAGAAUCUACUCUGUACCAAAAUCGAGAUCAGCAAGUGAUACAGAAAGUUUUUCUAAAAAAACCAACAUGUAGUUACAUAGCUAACGAGAAAUCUUACAAUUAGUUGACGAGUGUCUGUCGAACAUAGACGUAGAAAAGUGAGCGUAUUGAACUCGCAUACUCGAGAUAUAGAAAAAACUAAUAUUCUCAGAAGUGUUGCGCGAACGAGCCCCCUGGUUCGCCUAGAAUUCCUGCAAGUUUCUAACGAGCUAGUGACGUUUCGAAUGUUACAUUUACAAACAUAAGGUGUGCGAGGAAAACAAUGGGUGUUUAUAUAUCCCGGACUUAGUCUCGCGUAACGUAACAGAUUAGAAACGGUCGACUGGCGCCGUUUUAAAACGACGAAUACACCUUUUAACGCGUCACUCUGUAUUAUUUUUAAGUCGCUCGCGAUUGCAAAACGAAACGAGCGCGCAGGUAGUUUUAAAACGAAUAUUUUUGCGAACGAAUCAACGUCACGGUACCUACACAGAGAAUACUAUUCCCAAUCAAUCAUUUUUUAGAUGGCUAUACAUAAGUAUACAAGGAAUAAUUCUUUUACUGGGACGUCAUCGUGUCGCAUUGUAAUAUUUCAAAGCAGUCUCGACACGUUGAGAUCCUUUUUAACCCUGGCCAGCGGCGAGACUGGUGUUUUUUGAUCCGCGUUAACGAUUUUGUAACACUAUUCCUUAGAUGGUAAACAAUAAUAGCGUUAUCGAUGCCGCGACUCGAUAUUCUACGAACGAAACAAAGACGAAGAACGAAAAAUACGAAACGAAGAUUGUACAUAAGAAACGCCCGAUUAAGAAUCUAGAAUUGUAAUCGAUACGCGAUGAAUUACGAACGAGACGGGGCUUUCGGAUAGCUUGAAGUCAAUUUCAUUUCAAGGAAAAGGAAAAAGGAUUUAAAAAGAAAAAAAAAAGAAAGGAAUACACCCAGAGAAACGUCGGGGUAUCGACGGAUCUUCGUGAAAACACUUUUCCACUUUUUGCUUCAGCGAUUCGAUCUCGAACGUGCGAUACCGAGUACCUCGCCUUUAUUUUUGUAUCGACACGAACAUUCAAAAGCAACGCAACACCACCGUCGCACAAUUUAUCCCCGAGACACACGAGAUAUGUUCCUUUGCAUGCAUGUACGCAUAAAUAUGUACAAAAACAAUACAGAGCAAAUCUUUAAAAGUUAGUAGGAUAUACACAGCGAGUAUUGAACGGAUAUUUUAGUUGACCGACCAAGUAGUCGAGCACCGGUUGUCCAUGACAAAAUAUUUCGGUCCCGGUGAAGCUUUCGAUUAACGUAUUUCAUACCAGUCGAUGCUAGAGAUGAGCAGAAUUUUAAUCGAAUGAUAACGAUUUCAUUACAAGGUUGAUUCCAUUGGACCGGUAUUCGGAUAAGCUUCCACUUAAUGUGACGUUCAAUUCAAUUUUAUUAUUCAGAUCGUAAUUUUGAUUAAAUAAAUAACGCAUAGAAAAUUCUUCAUUUUAAGAUCGUUAUUUAAUUAUGUGUAUCUAGAUAAGAAUUUUGCCCAUCUCUGAUGCAUUUUGCUGUGAAAAUCGAACACGAGAAUCUUUGGUAAGCAAUACGUUAGCGACAUAGCUUUCGGUAGGUCUGAAUACACAAACAGACAAUAAAGAAGAUGCAAGUAUCAAAAGAAACAAAGAGGGCUGCGCGAAUUCUUUUUUCAACUCGUCACUUUGGCUUUCGGAGGCAUAUGUCCUCGAAUUUUAUUCGCGAACUGUCGAUUAUUCGUUGCUACCUAUAACUGCUGAGAUGAGCAGGAAACUUUCGAGCCACGCGCAAAUAGAAACGCUACCUAAAGCUAAUGUAAACUUAUAAAGAGGAUAGUCAAGCUUCUCGAAGAGGAAUCGAAUGUUACAGAAAAUUUGUAUACACAUCACAGGCUGUUUUCAGUAACCAGUCUGAACAUUUUACUAUCAAAAGGCCUGGGAGGUUUCGUAAUAUAAUAUUACCGCGUAAAAUAUUCGAAAGCACAGUGGACCAAAAUCAUGUUCAGUGAACUAUCGCUUGACAACUGAUGCCGCUUUUGGAGAAAGAGAUGCAUUCUUUAGUUCUCAUACAGAGCGUUUUGUAAAAUAUUUAACCAAAGUUUUUGAGCUUGAUUUCGAACCUGCGAGGAAUAAUAGCAUGUCUGACACCUAAAGUUAUGUAUCAGAGAAAGUGGUUCAGUUCAUCGAAUUCUGAAUUUUAUAAAAAUUAGUCAGACUACGAAAUUCUGAUACAUUUGAGAAACUAAUUCAUUGAAUUGAAGUAUUUCCUCUGACACAUAGCUAAGAAAGUCUAUGAGAAUGUCUAUAGACUCGUGCUGACAUUUAUGAAUCGGUAGUUGGCAAAAUUGAGUAAUUGAGUACUUGAGUCUGUCAAGCUCUCAAAGUUUAAUCUGAAAGGAAGCAUUCCAUCUCAUAAAAUUCUGAAUUGUAUAUCAUCUGCCCAGCGUCGCCAACAUUUCUAAAUAAAUUCUUUAAGACACUUCCAAAUCAUAUACUCAUCAAAGAUUAUCAGAAAUUUAUUGAAUCAGAAAUUAAUUGAGUUAUUUCCUCUAACAUGUAGCUGUAAAGAACUUCAUCGCUAAAGAAUUUCGUACACUCGAAUAACUUCUACAAUUAUUUGUAGAAUUUUGUUGUAAAAAUUAGGCGAUCGAGUCUGCCAUGCUCUCAAAGUUUGGUCUAGUAUUUAGAAACAUCCCAGAGAUUAAAUUCCUCCGCGCGAGUAGUUGGCAUAAAAUUAAGUUAGUCGGAUCAAACUCACUAAAAUUCUAAAUACAAGGACCACUAAUAUUUACGGCGUGCGAGAUCACGUGAAAAUGUGCGAGUGUGUUGAGACGUUACCGUUUAAUUCUCCCGUAGCAACGAGUAAUCGCCGCGACACAAAGGCGAAAGGUGACGUGCUUACAUCAGACUUCUGUUUUCAGUUCACUAACCGAUUCGGUUGUCCACGCGCCUCUUAUCAACGACGUUACAUCAAAGCUAAUCAAAAGCUCGCGACAAGACGGACGUGUCGACGGGUCUCUCCUCGUAGGCAGUAAAAUUCAAAAGUCUCGCUUCCUUCCACAGAACAGAGAUGGGCAAGCUCGAACAAUAAACGUCGGAUAAAGACACAAUGUGAUUUGUUCGCUGUUCGAUAGAGCAAUUACACGAAUAAGACUUCGUUCAGCGUGAAAUAUAAUUUCAAUCCGUAAUUAAAACUCUAAUUUUUACCUCGUUAAACAUUUUGCCCAUCUCUGCCACAAAACGGAAACGUAGAGACGCUUCGAGUCUCGGGAAGACCAAGAAGUCUCGGAUUCGUAGAUUUCCGUUGCGAUCAGUGGCGAAAGACAUAUCACCGGCCGCGGACGACGAUUUUUGAGAUCGAUGAAGCUCUAUCGGUGGAGUGAAGAAAGAAACGAGGGAAAGAAAGCGUUUAGAGCGAAACGAGUGUCGAGACAUUCGUGGAUCGUGCGAAGGGAAACGGGCAAACGGCUGGCAUCGCUAUAUACAAAAUGGGACCGUUUAAAGAUAAGACAAUUCUAAUUUUAUCGCUCGAUUCCUUCGCCCAAGUUGGUAGCCGCGGAGUGGAAUGUAAUUUCACCUGGCAGCUGUUACCUAGUGCAGGCAUAUUCGACUGGAUUCUGACGAGCAAGGGCCAGUGCCACCAUUAAUGGACGUUUGAGUGGAAAUAUUCACGUUCAACCCUUUAAGUGCCAAGGGGCGAUAUAUAUUGCUGCUGUCGAAGCUGUAAAUGCUAUAACUCAUUAAAAUUGUCCGUCAUUUCUCGGAUAUCUAUGAAAAUUUCCCAUGGAACUCAAAGGGUUAAUCCCUCUAGAUCCACAGACGUGUGCAUGAAAUCUCCGCACGUCAUCAAAUGUACAUUGGCGGGGUUGCCGUGUCCUUGCUCGUGAGAACUUGGUUGCAUAUGGCUGACCUAGAGAAAUCGAUCGCAUAGAUCGAUUCGACGCUAGGGGGAAGCUUUAUUGUCCUUUCUUAGCGGCGCGUCGAUGCGCCAACCAGGAGGUUAAAUUUAUAAACCAGUAAAGACUUACCUCAGUAAUGUAAUGUACGCAAGAAUCAAACGUCUUUAUGAUCGAGAGUACGUAUAUAUACUGUAGUGCUGAUCGUCCUUUGUAUAUUUUCCGUAUUGUAAAUAAUUAUACAUACGCCUUACCGGUAACUAUUGCUGUACGAUAACCGUCAACGUGCGCAUUAUUUAAUAUUUAUGCGAAUCUUGGAACGAGGGUUGCGCCGAUUCGGACAGCCGCGAGCUCGUGGAAAAGGCGUUGCGCGUUGAGAAAGAGAGAUAUGCUUCUAACGAAAUCCAUUUUGUUGUCUGAAUUUCGUUUUCGAGCAUUCUAUGGUGGUAGGACGUUGAGAUCGAGGGAAGAAAUGGAUUGUACAACUCUCAUUCCUCAGUUUUGUGUAUAUAUUCGAUUAUCGAUUGUGUGUGACAAUUCUUGUGACAUUUAAUUAUUUAUCAGUACCUUGAGUCGGUUAGAAUAGCUCAUAGCUCUGUUUUUAUAUGUGUAAUUUUGUCUUACGUUAAUUUUGUUAGCUGACCUUUUAUCGACCUGUAUUAAUCAUUGUUCAAUCUGUGUUUUUAAUUUGAGAUCCGCUCCUUCGGGAGAGUAUAUAUUUUGGCGCGAGUAAAUUAGGAGAGAAUUGACAAACUUCGCGUCGAGAUGAAAUUGUUUUAUUUUUCUUCGUUUUGGUAGAACGAAAUUGCGAAUCCAACAAAACAUUGACCUGCGUUGCUUUUUCUCGAGCGACGAAUGGACACAGAGGACCGCGUGAGCGAUACGCCGUGAACUAUGACAAAAAGAGGCCUAUGUUAAUCGACGCUCUGUGUAUCGUUUCUUCUACUUCUUUUUCUUUAGCGACGGGCGGACGAGUACGAUAAAUUAGCGACUAAAGAUAGUUAAUGCGUUUAAAUCGCGGGAUACGGCCGACGGCCGUGGGAAACAAAUUUUUUGAAGAACUAUAUACCGAUAGUUAUCGAAGUGUGACUGUGAGGCACGAGUUUCUUCGGCAAAUAUUUAUUACUAUUAUUAUUUAUCGAAAGAAGAAAAAUGUGAAUGUAGUUAUAUUUAACGGAGCGUUUCGUUCGCUUGUUAUGUUUUGAAAGAGAUAUAGAGAAAAUAAGAGAGAAGCGCCGGGCGACUUUUGUUCAUUGUCGCGAAAAUGUACAGUGCGUGUGCGUGUAUGCAGAGAGAGAGAGAGAGAGAGAGAGAGAGAAAAUAUGUGUGAAAGAGUUACUCAGAUAAAAACAUAGAUUGAAAGGGAAAGAACGAGAAGUAAGAUGUUAAAAUCUGACGAAAAUGCAAAUUUCGGGGAACGAAUAUAGUUUAAGGAGGCACCAAAAAAGAAAAACUGAUUAACUCCGUAGGACAAACAAUUUAACCGUGAUCACAAUUUACCGAGUCAACAAAUUUAGGAAACAGCGACGAAUGCACUUCUUGGUGUACAAUAUGAAUAUUAAUGCAGAUAAUAGCUAUACAUAUUACUAUAUCAAUUGUCAGUGGUAUUACAAUAAGAGAUGAUAAUUUUAUAUUUACAAGAUAGAAAAUCGUUAAAUCUAAAUGAGUGUAAUAUACGUCUGUACUAUGAAAAAAGAACACACAUCCACAUAUGCAUACAAAUACUAUCCACUCGCAGACACCUUUUACGCCCACCACCCACACCCCUCCCCCACUCUUCACGAUCCCCAAAAUUCCGUGCUAGGACAAAAACUAGGAAAGCUAGCUUAUUUAAUAUUUGGCAUAAUAUUUAUAUAUGUAUAUAAUAUAUUAUAUUAUAUAAGCCGUAUAAUAUAAUAUUAUUAUGUAUUAUAUAUACGACUAUAAAUAUGAUUAUAAAUAUGAAUAUAAAUGCAAAUAUAAAUAUAUAUAUAUAUAAAUUUAAAUAUAAAUUUAUAUGUAUAUAUAUAUGAAAGAUAGAGCAUAAAGUAAACAAAAAAAAAAUGGGAUAGGCUCGGUGCGGCAAUAUUUGCAUAACCGAGAAAAAGUAUGAAGCUAUGUGAUCCACUACUACUAGUAGCUUUUAGCUGUAAAGACUUAUACUUUAUUUUGUAAAUUUUGUUUAUACAAUGUUUGAUCGUUCACGCAUAAUACUAUUGUAUGUGAAAAUAAGUUAAUAAAUCAUUAACAUGUGAAGUUA